GAGCGUUAUCCGGAAUCAUUGGGUUUAAAGGGUCCGUAGGCGGGCCUAUAAGUCAGGGGGUGAAAGUUUGUGGCUCAACCAUAAAAUUGCCCUUGAUACUGUAGGUCUUGAGUUAUAGUGAAGUUGCCGGAACAUGUGGUGUAGCGGUGAAAUGCAUAGAUAUCACAUAGAACACCAAUUGCGAAGGCAGGUGACUAACUAUAUACUGACGCUGAUGGACGAAAGCGUGGGGAGCGAACGGGAUUAGAUACCCCGGUAGUCCACGCCGUAAACGAUGGAUACUAGCUGUCGGGACUUCGGUCUCGGCGGCCAAGCGAAAGUGAUAAGUAUCCCACCUGGGGAGUACGUUCGCAAGAAUGAAACUCAAAGGAAUUGACGGGGGCCCGCACAAGCGGUGGAGCAUGUGGUUUAAUUCGAUGAUACGCGAGGAACCUUACCAGGGCUUAAAUGUACAUUGCAUAGCGUAGAGAUAUGCUUUUCUUCGGACUAUGUACAAGGUGCUGCAUGGUU
rnacentral:rRNA from 1 species